GGGGAUGACAGGUUUCGACGAUGUUAGUCGCGCCAGGGGAAGCGGGCCGAGGAUGCAGGGCUAUCUCGUUAACGCUCUCUGCAAAAAAUAACUGCUGAAUCCAAACAGCACGACUUCGCUCUCGCUGCCUAAGCAGCGGGCAUAGUCCGUCAGUCCGGGUACGCUCUCGCCCCGGUUUCUGGCGUCAUUUAGAGGGCCACUGCUGGACACUUUCGCCGUUGGGGUGUCCGGGACUUUUAGACGGCUGGGCCCGGGUCAGCCACUUGUUUGCAUGAUGGCUGGGGCCGAGAAAUCCCGAAGCAAACUGCGCCCGGAGAAGUCCUGGCAACGCAACAUCGGACGGGGGUUCAAUUCCCCCCAUCUCCACCA
rnacentral:tmRNA from 1 species